rnacentral:rRNA from 1 species
GACGUAGGGUGCGAGCGUUUGUCCGGAUUUAUUGGGCGUAAAGCGCACGUAGGCGCCUGGCAAGUGGAAGGUGAAAUCCCUCGGCUUAACCGAGGAACUGCCUCCCAAACUGCUUGGCUUGAGACCGGGAGAGGUGAGUGGAAUUCCCAGUGUAGCGGUGAAAUGCGUAGAUAUUGGGAAGAACACCAGUGGCGAAGGCGGCUAACUGGUCCAGAUCUGACGCUGAGGUGCGAAAGCGUGGGGAGCAAACAGGG